rnacentral:rRNA from 1 species
AACGAACGUUGGCGGCGUGGAUUAGGCAUGCAAGUCGAGGGAAUCCCAGCAAUGGGGGAACCGGCGUAAGGGGCAGUAAGGUGUGGGUACCUACCGCGGGGUUCGGGAUAGCCAUCAGAGAUGGUGGGUAAUACCGGAUGACCUGGUGACAGCAAAGAUUUAUCGCCCUGUGAGGGGCCCACAUGAUAUUAGCUAGUUGGUGGGGUAACGGCCCACCAAGGCGAAGAUGUCUAGCGGGUGUGAGAGCACG